CUUGGUGUUAGUAUGUCUGCAUAGAACUCUGGUUUGGCUGUAGAAGGGAUGCUUGUCUACAUUCAGUGGGAAUGUUGCCUCCUGCUGAGCUGGCUUCUUGGUAUUCUUUCUGCUGUUGAUUUCUAGCAUAAUUACCUGUGAUUGUGUGAAUGGAGUGGAAAGAGCACAUAGCAUUAAUUCCAAAUAAGUGUACUGUCUUAAUCACUUUGCAUUGCUGAAACACAAUGCCCAACACCAGGAAAUUAAAGGAGAGGUUUAUUUUGGCCUAGCAGCUUCAGUCCAUGUCUGGCAGGCUUAAACACAGAAACAGCCUGGUGGAAGGGCCUGGGCAGAGGAAGGCUGCUCAUGUCAUGGUGGUCAGGAAGUACGGGGAGUCCAGAGAGAGAGAGAAAGAGACACCCACCCCGAUGGACCCGCCUCCCCUGAGCAAGCCCCACCUCCUGACAACAAGUCAGCUCCCUCACUGCCCUGCCCAUGACCCAUGAGCCUUUAGGGGACAUUCUCCAUCGAAACCAUAACAAGGACCUAAGCAGUUACAGUGGUAACAAGGCCAUAUGUAACACAUUACCCAGUACUUUAGAAGCCAAUAGGUUAAAUCUAAGGACUUAGUCAAAGUUCAGGAAUUAAAAGUCCAAGAUGAAAUAAAUACUGAGUUCUCUGCCCAAGCAUGAGGGGCAAGGGAGGGAAAAUGGAGGAAAGGGUCAAAGGGUGAAUACCCCACUCUGGUCUCCUCCCCACAAGACGCAACACCUGGUCCAGUGAGCCUCUCCAGGGGGCAUCACUGGAAUAUUUUCUUAAACAAAAAGAACUACCAAAAAAAUACCUUUUUCUGAAAAUUAUCUCAUAUGAAAAAAAUUUACACAUGACUAGAAAACCCCAAAGAACAUGCAUUGUGUUAAUAGCAAUGAUCCUGAAACAUGCUUACCGUGAGUAGUCUUUGUUUCCUUUUCUUUGCUUAUGUUUUCUAGUAUUUCUAUUAUGAAUGCUACUACUUUGUAAUUGUGAAACCAUCAUCAUGUGUAAAACCCAGUCUGUACCCUGUUGCUUGCCUCACCACCUUCCUCACCACAGGGUGUGGGUGCAGCCUGGAUCCGCCCAACGAUGCCCUGCUUGAGGAUGCCUUUACCCCUGGGCUCUGCCCUUUCCUGAGGGGACCCAGUGGGGCGGGGUGGGAGAAGGACCCUGUAUUCCUCUCUGGCAGGGUCUUGGGAAUUGUCCCUGGACACCGAGCCUAAGAAGGAGCCUUUCCAGCUGUUUUACAGCUGGUGGCUGGUUGCUUCUCUUGUCUGAGACAUAACCCUGGUUGACACCCAGACCCAGAGCCAUGUAGAGACUAGACUGUGCUGAAGGAAAAUAUACAUUUUAUGAUGUCAAAUGAAAAUUAUUCCAAGCCAUCAAUAUUUCAAGUGGCUUAGCAUCCAUUUGAGUUGCACAAGGAAGAGUAAAAAUAACUGGAGCAACUCUGCCAAAUCCAAAACGCAACAAAGAUCUCCAAGCAUAAAUGUGCCAGGGUCACAGAUUUCCUGACUUUUACUAAGACAUGCAGAUGCAAUGUAGCUUAAAAUGUUUUUGGAAAUGGAUCAACUUUUCCCCAGGAGCCUUAUCUCAGUGGGUUUAGGGAGGGAUGAUGAGGAAGGAAUGGGGAUAACAGACAGACUAAACGUCCCUGUUAGUGGAAUCUCAGCUCGAGAACAAUUUUUCACAGGGGUAGGGCUCUGUGCUGCAGCGGACCCCUGCCCUGUCGCACGGAGGUACAGAGGGCUAUUGCGGGUGAGUGGUGGCCUGGUACUCCGAGGCGUGCAGGGCUUCGGAUGCCUGGCACACCUGUGCAGUCCAGGAACCCAUUCACACCUUCCCCUGCUGGUGGCUCCCACUAUGUCUGUUCUCCCUGGGCUUCUGGAUGGAGCGCGAAGCCAGUACCUUCUGCAUGAGCGUUCCUCUGAGUGCAUUUAACCAGCAGACAUACCAAGUGUCACUCUGGAGGGAGAGGCUGGGACACAGGUACCUGUCUUCUUGCUUUCCAUAUCUUCCUCUGUGUUAGGGAAUUUCUUUUGUGUCACCAUCUACCUCCUUCUCAAAAGCUGGAGCCCUAUGUAAGACAGAGUCCAAGAAGACAAAUUAAUUUUCCAAUGAGUGAGGUUCAAAAAGAUUGUCCUUUUUUCUUUUCUUUAGUGGGGAUUGAAUUCGGGACCUUGUGCAUGCUAAGUAACUGCUUGACCGUGAGCUACUCCCAGUCCAUUGUCUUUUAGACUAGUAAAGCUGCUCACGAGGAUUGCUAUGGUUUGGACGAGUGUCCCAAAGACUCAUGGGUAACAAGCUGGGUCCACAGCUCAUGGCACUGUUGGAGAGUGGGAAUCUUUAAGAGGAGGCCUAGCAGGAGGUUUCUGGUUAUAUAGGGGUGGCCCUUGAGGGGCAUACUGGGACCCCAUCCCUCCUCUUUCUCUUUUUGCUUCAGGGUUACUGUGUGGUAGGCAGCUUUCUCCCAUGUACUGCCAUGAUGUGCUGUCUGCCACAGGCCCCAGAGCAACCAGCCAUGGACUGUGACUGAAACCUCCAAAAUUGUGAGGCUAAACAGCACUCCCUAAGCUGAUUAUCUUAGGUAUAUUGUUACAGGGACGAAUAACUUACUAACAAGGAUUUACAUGGCAUGUGCCAAACCUAAUUGUUUUGAUGCUUUUCUCCAAACUCUUAUUAAGGAGGAAGGCAUCAAGGAGGCCUGCGAUUUAGCCCCAUCCUUUGCUUUACCAUGGUACCUGGUGAAUGAGAGGCCUGUCAGCUGUAGAGACCUUUGCAUAAGAGAGUGAAGAUGUCCUCUUUUUCUUUAGAAUGUCCUGGUGGGAAGGUCUGUAGUUCUCUGCCCAGUGUUUCCUGGUGAGCUUUCCUCAGUGAUAUCAGAGGAACCAGAGGGGAAGUAUGAGCUCUUGCCUGGAGGGGAUUAAUGUUAUCAAGAAAUACGGGUUUGUAAGGCCCACGUCUUCCCCAUCUCCAUCCUCCCUUGAUACAGUGUGCUGUGGUACAAAAGUCCGGAUAAUGGAAACGCUGCCAUUAGAAGCUUCUACAGACAGUGUGGACAUCUUACCUAAGUCAAGCAGCUCUCUCAGUUCCAGUGCACAUAGCACUGGGGUGAAACUCAAACACAUGGGACUUGCUAGAAGUAUUUGUUGAGAAUGCAUAAUUCCACAUGGAUAUGUGGCACCUUGGCCUGGCCAAGCGUGUAGGGUGAGGGUGAAAGUAUGCACAUGGCCCUAGGCCAAUGGAAGGAGGCAUCUCAGAGGAAAGGCUUAUUCAUAUAUUGAUUUUGAGUGGUGCUGGAGAGUAAACCUGGGACCUAGCCAUGCUGGGUAAGAGUUCUACUGCUGAGCUGCUCCUCUGCCCCUGAAGAAAGGUAUUUAGACUGCGAUUCCACCGACUGAGACAGACGUGGCUGACAGAGCCAGGAGCAGCUACAGGAGGCUACUCCCCUCCGGGAGAAGUGGGUGGUGGUGAACUUGGAUGUGCCCAGGAGAGAGAGAGGCAAGUGGGCUCAUGCUGCUAUGAGCAGGAGGUGGGCCGUUGCCAGUGUGCUGCCUUUUGCUGAAGAGACCAGCAUGGUUGCGAGGAGAUGCUUAGGAGAGGGUACAGUGAGCGUUACGGUUUGGACGGUUGGUGCCUCGGAAGGCUCAUAUGUGGGAAGCAUGGUCCCCAGUGUGGUAUCAUGAAGAGGUGCUGGGGUCUUUAGAGGUGGGGCUUAGUGGGAGUUGGGUAAGUCACUGGGAAGCUGCCCUUAGAAGAAACUAAGGUAAAACUAAUGAGACCCUGAGCUGGUUCUCUUGAGAGGGUUUUAUAAGAGUACGAGUCUGGCUCCUCCACCUAUCCUGGCUUCCCAUGUCACCACCAGACCUCCCUCUUGAUGGGCUCCACUGUUGUACUUCUGUCUACCAUGAGCCUUCGCCAGAGCUGAAUGGAUGCUGGUGCUAUGCUCUGGGAGCUCCAGAACUGUGAGCUAAAUAAACUGUGAAGCUGGGACUGGAGAAUCCUGGAAGGAGAUUCUAGGACAGUAGGUUCAUGUGUUACCCACCUCAGACAGGACAUUUAGCAGAGUACAGCCCAGGGCAGUAGGACAGAGUGUAGGCCUUGGGACCAGCCCCACCCUGGGUUUGUGACUUGGAGUGAGCUAGUAACUUGUAAGGUGCUGGUCAUAAUGGUAUUUACCUCAGUGGCUUUAGGAAAUAAUGCCCUGGAUUGCCUAUCUACAGCUUCAGACACCACGUGUCCACCAGUGUGAGGCCACCAUGAAGCUUUCUGAUAUCGCUGUGGGGAGUACUGAUACAGGAAACCAACUGUAAAGUGCUACCUGAAUAUCAUUUUGAUGCCAGCUUGGAAAACAUAGAAGGUACAGUCUUCACCCAGAGGCAUCUAUAAAGCAGCAGAAGUGGAUGUAGACAGAGCUGGAGAUGGAAAAUGUUCAAGAUGGAGCCCCAGAAAAACCAGAAACAAAAGUAGACCCUCAAGAAAAAACACAUGAAGGUGACCCUGAUGAAAUCUCAUUACAGUUUCCAUCCAGCAAUGUGGCUCUUCCGGUCCCAGAGUUCUUGAAAACAGCACAGGCCAAGGAGAAGACGGUCUUUCUCCCUGUGGUGAGCAACACACUCCACAUGUCCACUGCAGAGUCUGAGUUUCCACAGAAGGGAAGUGACAUUCCCAAGUUCCCAGCAAAUAUUGUGCAUUACAAGAAAGGCAACAUCUCUGGAUCCUCAGCUAAAACCACACAGCCCAAGCACAGCAACACACCCAAGUCCUUGGCAAACACUACCCAGGCCAAACAGGGAAACAUCCCCAAGUCCUCAGAGAAGAUCAUCCAGUCCAAAGAGGAUGAUAUUCCCACAUCCUCAGAGGGCGUGACUCAGCCUAAAGAGGAUGACAUCCUCAAGUCCUCAGAGAAAACCAUCCAAUUCGACCCAGGGAAUGUCCUCAAGACCUCUGAGAAAACCAACCAGUUCAACCCAGGGAACAUCCUCAAGUCCUCAGAGAAAACCAUCCAGUUCAACCCAGGGAACAUCCUCAAGAUCUCCGAGAAAACCAUCCAGUUCGACCCAGGGAACGUCCUCAAGACCUCCGAAAAAAACAACCAGUUCAGUCCGGGGAAUAUCCUCAAGUCCUCAGAGAAAAACAUCCAGUUCAACCCAAAGAACUCCCUCAAGUCCUCAAAGAAAACCAUCCAGCUAGAGCCAGGGAACAUACUCAAGUCCUCAGAGAAAACCAACCAGUUCAAUCCAGGGAACAUCCUCAAGUCCUCAGAGAAAAACAUCCAGUUCAGUCCGGGGUCCUCCCUCAAGUCCUCAGAGAAAACCUUCCAGUUCGACCCAGGGAACAUCUUCAAAUCCUCAGCAAACACCAUCCUGUCCAAGAACAGUAACACAGCCAAGUCUUUGGCAAAAAAUACCCAGCCCAAACAGGGAAACAUUUCCAAGUCUUUAGCAAGUACAAUCCAGUCCAAGGAGGGCAACAUCCCCAAGUCCUCAGAGGAUAUCACCCAGCCCAAGGAUGGUGACAUCCUUAAGUCCUCAGAGGAGACCACCCAGCCCAGAGAGGGUGACAUCCCCAAGUCCUCAGAAGAGACCACCCAGCCCGAGGAAGAUGCUAUUUUAGGGGUCAAAAAAGAAGCAGUGGAGUCCCUUGAGCAGGAUGUAGUGAAGGUGAUCAUGGGCAAGGAGGACUUGGAGAGAGCACUCAGGGAGGCUGGGGAGAGGCUGGUGGUUGUGGACUUCUCGGCCACAUGGUGUGGGCCCUGCAGGAGCAUCUGGCCGCUUUUCCAUUUCCUGUCUCUGAAGCACAGCGACGUCAUGUUCCUAGAAGUGGAUGCUGAUGACUGUGAGGAGCUGGUGAAAGACUGUGAGGUGGUUUGUCUCCCAACCUUUCACUUUUAUAAAAAAGAAGAAAAGGUGGGUGAGCUUUGUGGUGCCCAUAAUGAAAAACUCGAAGCAAAAAUUACAGAAUUAAAGUAACCAUAUAUUCUGAGAACAUUGGAAACCACAGGUGACAGCUUAUGUUUUUUUCUUAAUUUGCAAAAAGGAACAGGUAUAACAAAUUAUGUCUAAAUGACAUAGCUUGUAAAUUUUGAGUGUGAAGACUUUGAAAGCACAAGACAUUAGAACACAUUGUGACCAUGAUUCUACUCAUAGGAGAGAGGGAUUGGAAGCUCCUUGGUGGAGAUCAGAAGUCUUCCUUUCCAUCUUGUUUUUUCCAUUGCCUUUGAAAAUUCUGCUCAUUAAGUGUUUGCAGCAACAAUGGACAUUUAGAAAAUUCAUCUGUAGCUGUAUAUGGCUAACAACAAGUGGAAAAUUCUUUCACCGUGCACGCAUAUCUUUGGGGGCUCAGAGUAGAUUCUUCUGGACAGCGAGUGGAAGUCACAUCUUAGCUCACGUCCUCCUCGUGCAGGGAGUGCUAGGAGGUGCCUGCAGACUGAGGCUCUGUUCUCGGUCUUCAGGUCCAGGCUCUUUGCUCUGGCCACACUCACCAAAUACAGGGCAGUGCUCAGCACUUUGGGUCCUCAGAGGCUUAAGUCCUUGUGAUCCUCGGUCCCUUCUGACGUCAGCACUGUGGUGGCAAAGUUUGUGCUUAACUUGGUUCCUAAUUCCUAGCCCCAGAUCUCCCUGAACCUGGAGGCCCAGGUGUGGCCCACAGGUGGCAGCUUGGUCCAAGGGGUUGCUAUCUACUUAACAGCUUUGCUGAGGUCUGUAUGCCAAGAACCCACACGCUUCAUAUGGGCAGCGGGUGAGUUUGGCUAAGCACACACACCAGUGGUCCCAUGGCCUCCAGGAGCUGCCUUGUGCCCUCUGCUUUUCUUAUAACUCGAAGAACACUGCUCUGGUUACCAAGAGAUCUUUAAUGCAUUUUAAGUGGCCAAUACCAUAUUGCUAACCCCAGGCACUGUGUCACACAGCUGACUUCUAGGACCCAGGCACUGUGUAGAGCUGAAAACUUGUACCUUGUAUUGAACAGUUAUUCUUGUUUCCCCCUUGCCCCACUAAGCAGCCACUAUUCUAUUUUCUAUUGACUCAGAAUGCUUUUUAAAAAUAUGGAUUUGUUGUCAAUAUUUUAAAAACCACGAUUUCCUUUAAAGUCUAGAUUUCCAGGUUUUCUUGAAAAAUGGUGAGGUCUGGCAACCCGAGAUUUGCAUUAUUUCAAGAAACAAAUCUCAUCCUGGGGGUGAGUGGUGGCUUCCUCGCUCUGGUCCACCACAGAACCUGGCAGGCUUCAUUCGUCUGGUGGAGGCCGUGGGGCAGCCCCUGGGCGGGCCAGAGCGGGGCUAUAGUCACCCUGCACCCUGUCCCUGGGUGGGUGCUCCACGGGCACCUCAGGCAGCAGCUCGCUUUGCACCGUUAUCAGCAGCCUCCUACAGCCGGCAGAUCCGUGGUACAUAGACUUGGCCUUGUCCAAAACAGAUCUGGAAUGGCCUCCAGAAAAUACUGCUGAUGAGGCUACAGAAUGAGGGGAAAUCAGAACCCAUGGGCUCUUCGGGCCUGUGUAAUUGCUCUGAUUGAGUGCCAUGCUUUCUUUUUGAGCUUCUUCAUGGUUGGGAGAGGAAAGGGGACCUCACUAACCCCCAUAUCUCCUUGUCCAAAAUGAACAAGUUUCGUAAUGUGAAAAAGGAGCCAGAGCUUCCCUUUGGUUCUGAAUGAACUUUCUCACGUGGGACCUUAACUCUGAGACACUGAACAGCAGAUGACGUCCUGGGGAGAUGCAACAAAAGCCAGCCAGAUUUGAAUCGUAGGACAUCAGUAGUCGGCAGGAAAGCAGUUGUUCCUCCGCGGCUGAUGACAGCUGAGAGUGCUGCAACCCCAGGGCCGUGCAAAGGAGCCACACCCAGCCCUGCGCAUUUCGGCCUGAGUCCAUCUGCUCCGCCACAUUACGCAUACCACAAGAAUGGGCGUGGAUUUCUCACCACUCAAGAGCCUGGACGUCAACGUCAAGGUGACUGUGUGGUUGGUUUCCGGGGAGGCCUUGCCCCUCCGCUGCUGGGUGACUGCCUUCCUGUUGCAUUGUCCCCACACGGUCAUUCCCGUGCCUGUUCAUUCCUGGGGUCAGUGUGCCUGGACCUCCUCUUACGAGGACACUGGUCAGUUGGAGUGGGGUCAAUCCUAGCAGCCCUCUUUAGCUUCAUCACCUUUUCAGAGGCCCUGCUCAAGUACAUUCUGAAGUGCUGGGGAUGAGGAUUUUGGGAUGCACAAUUUAGCCCACUUCUGCUUCAGAUGAGGCUCAGAGGCUCGAGCAGCAGAGUCCUUUGGGGCGUGUGACCUAGAGAAUCAUCCCUAAGUAAGGCACGGGAUCCCCAGCUGCAUGUGCUGAUGCUGCAUUUCUGAGAAGGUGGGGGACACCCUACAAAACUGCUUCUCACCACUGUGGGUUCAUCCCCACAGCUGAGAAUGGGACUCCUGCAAAGACCAGGAACAGAUGGCCCCAGAGUGGUCCGUGGCCUCCCCGAGCAUAGCCCCUGCAGUGUGGGUCCCCACUGGGUCCAGUGGCAGCAAGGACCCGGGGAUGUGUCUCCAAGUGAAUCUUCUGUCCUUCGAGGAAUGUGGUGCUCAUGAGUCGGUCCCCGAGCUCAGCUACUCCAGGCCACGGCAUUUCUUUGAUUUCCUAUCGCUCUGCUGGGUAAGGACGUGAGGCCUGUUGAUUUCUAUGUGCUGCUCACCUCAGGAGAGGCUGGACACACUGAGCCCGGGAUUAUAUAAAUCAGGGUCUUCAAACUUAUAAACCCAGAAAUCACACAUGCCUGUUGAGACUUCUGGUUUUAGGCUUCUGGACUGGAAACACUGGAUCAGUAGUUGUGGGCAGGGACUAAGGACUCUUCCCAUGGUCCAGGGGAAAAUCAUACCACAAGUGAGCCUGCCCAAGGCCCCUCCUGUCCUGUGCACCCUGCCAUUCCUCCCAGCCCUUCCUCGGGUCUCCGGAACUCACAGCCCUGGCCUACAAGGGCUGUCUUAAUCCAGCAGAAGAAAGUUUGGUCACUGAAGGGGAUAUUGGAGCCUGGCUUCUCUUUGCCCCACCAUGAGGUGAGCAGGUCUCUCUGCUGUGUGCUCCGCCAUGACGGGAAGUGCCACCACUGACCCCAAAGCAAUGGCCAAGAGACCUUGAGCCAAACCUCUGAAAUCGUGAGCUGAGAUAGACCCUUCCUCUUUAAAGGUCUGUUGUCAAGGUGUUUUAAAAGCUGACUGACACACCUGGCAUUGGUCACUUAGCAGCCUUUCCUUUAGUCUCGUGACUGAGUUUGGAAUACCAUGGUCAGGAGCGGGGUGUCCCCAGCCCAGGGGCGCCGCACACCAGAGGCUGAGGUGUGACUGGGCCAUUCUCCUUGGUGCUCUCUCCAUGAGCGCGAACUGCAGCUAUGCCCCUGUAUUUUUCUCUAGCCCACAGCUUAAUGUCUGAAGCAUGUGUGUAUGCACACACACACACGCACCCACCCACCAUUGAGUCACUUCUCAGUGUCUGAGCUCCCACUUCUGUUGGGCUCUCUCCUGCAGUAACAUCUCUGCAACUGCCCUGUAAUCUGCAAGACCACUUCUUUCCCUGCAGUUACGACUUCACAUUGUCAUUGCUGGUGAGCAAGGGCCUGGUGCCCAACAUGCACAGAAGCCACAACUGGCACCGGGGCCUGCAGAAAGAGCAAGCGUGGGUGUAGGCUAAUUGACAGGGACAGGAGGCACAUGCACAUCUUCCUCCCUGGUCCGCCAGUGAGGAUGGGUUUUCAGGGCUUUGGUUCUGGAAAAGCCAUGGGUCUCCACUGGUUGCAGUUUUGUCUUACAGGGUUUUUACAAUUUCAGUCCUAGGUUGCAAUGUCACGGUCAGUGCCCUGAUCUUGACUUGUUGCUCUGAGUCUGUGGUUCCAUUGUUCUUGAGACUUGGUUCUGCCCACCUCAGAUCAUCCUUAGGUCAGACUUUAAGGUUGCCCUCAGGACACCAGGUUUAUAGAAUGUCUUACACAGCAGUUCAGAAUGCAGAAGUUAUUUGUUAUAUGCUGGCAGCAGGGUAAAGAGCUGAGCUCCACCCUGAUUUGGGUCGAUCAUUGAGCCUCAGCCAUUAUGGGUCUGUGUCUGUGGACUGGCAGUGAUCAGAGCUGGAUUUGGUAAUCCCCCGGAGAACUUUCACUCUUGAUGACAACCUUCUUGGGACUAGCUCUCAGGAGUGGGGGGCAGAGAGAAACAGACCCAAGUUACAAUCAACUUAUUUACAGUGCUGAGCCCUUCUUAGUCAAUGCCCAGCAGGAAGUGGGGGCUGCUGGGGGAGGGCUUGCUUUGCUGUGAGGCAUGUCCUCACUGCGCCCGCUUUCUCUCAGCUUAUCCCAGCCCAUCCACCAGCAGUCAGAGGAUGGGCUCCUGGCCCAGUCUCGGCUCCCCUGAGUUCCAGCUGGUGGUGUUCCAGGAGUAGGCGUGGCCAUCGGUUGGCUUGAAGGCCCUCCCCUCCCCUGCAAUGUUUACAGGAGUGGGUGGCAGCCUGGAAAGGAGUGGCCUAUUGGGCAAAAUUCACCAAGAAGUGAAAAAAGGAAAAGACACAUGAAAAUGCUAAACACAACAGUGUCUGUUUUAUAUACAUUGGACAGAAGGCGCGCAGAGUUAUCACUGGCUAUUUCUGUGCACAGAUAUUUUUUCUUCAGCUUUGAUGUUUUUUUUCUGCUUGUUUAUGUAAUGAAAGAAAAAAAAUGACACCUGUUUAGAUACAGCUGAGGACACCAACAGCUGCUGGAAGAGUCUACACAGGAGGACUGAGGCCAGGGCGAGGGAGCCCAAGGCCAAGGGUGUUGAGCUGCAGAUGCUGACCUUAGCCAGAGGCUCUGGGUUGAGUGUGUACUCGGCUUUAGGGCACAAGUGGGCUAAGGAUACAAACACAUCAGUACAUGCUCUUCUGUUUGGAAAUGAGCUGCUGUGAUCUGGAUUGCCAGGGUCGGAAACCCAACUCAGACCUACUCCAGCAAAGUUGGAGAGUGUAUCAAGCCCGGAAACUGGAAGUCUGAAGGGGAGGGACUGAUUCACAUGGAUACAGAGACUCAAACACCAUCGGGACACAGAUGUUCCUCCCCUCAGCUCAACUGUUGGUCUGGAUUUUACCAUCAGUUGCGUCUGUGGCUCACAAUCAUAGAUGAAAAGGGAGCCUGUUUCCAAAACCCAGAAGGAAAGUCCAAGGAGAGACUGUGAUCGUCUGGGUCAGGUGUCCUCCUUGAACCCUUGUGCCCUGGGAAGAGUUGGAGGAGAGGGUUGGUCAGGCUCGGUCACUCGCGCAUGCCCAGAGCAGGGUCAGGGCCAUCAAAGUGCCAGUGCUGAUCCGGGUUCCUGUGGGAAGUAGGGGCAGGAAGAGCUGCCCUGAUCACACAGAUCGAUUGCAGGAGAGAACAUGGAGCACCACUGUGUGGACUUAGACGCUGUCCUAAGAAUGUGGUCAGAGCAUGGCAUCCAUUUAGCAAUCCUCAUGGGAAGCCAAACCCACUAGGGGUCUGUGUAUUCAUCACGUUCCUUUUAAACACACCUCACUUCACUUUGACCCAUUCUAAUUUCCUUGCAUCUGUAAAUACACCACCUUAGAACUAAAUAAUUCUAUGUUCACAUGACAAAUGACCUCAUGAUAACUAGUGGCUUUCAUUGAAAUGGGCGCACAGGGCCAGGUGUGGUGGUAGAUGUUGCUAAUCCCAGCACUCUGGGAGGCUGAGGCAGAAGAAUCUCAAAUUGGAGCCCUGCCUGGGAGACAGCUACUUAGUAAGAUCUUAUCUCAAAAUAAAAAAACUAAAACUGACGGGGUUAUAGCUCAGUGCAAAGGCCUUGGGUUCAUUCCUUUGUACUGAAAAAAAGUUGGCAUACGAGAAGUGAAUCAGAAAAUAUUAUGAAGCAUUCUAUUUCUCAGUGUUGUUAUAAUGGAGCACCUGGCCUGACAAGGGCUAUUUUAUUUUAUUUACUUAUUCUUUUUAUGGUACGGAGGAUCUAACUCAGGUCCUUGCUAUUUUGAGGCAGGUGGUGGAACCCCUGAGCUAAAUCCCAGCCCUUGUACUGCUUUAUAAACAAAGAAGCUUAUUUAGCCCUCAGUUUUUGAGGCUGAAAGUCACAGCAUGAUGUCAUAUUUGUUCAGGCUCUAGAGCUUUACGGUGGAGUGGCCUGAGCACCAAGGCUGGCCUGCUUUGAAUAACCUGCUCCUCAGAGAAGGAACUCACUGCACAGGAGCAGCCUGAAUCCCUCCCAAGCCCUACCCACCGAAGACCGAGGCUCUUCCCCCAGGACCUGUCUCAUGCGGUUCUGGUGUGGGGGAAGAGAUGCCAGUCCCAAACCUGCUUCGUGUUCUCUAAAAUCAAAAAUGAAUUCUAGGAACAAUGGAGGUUAAAAGAAGGGAGAAUUUAUUGAGAGAAAGAUAGUUUCUAAGAGAGAAAGGGGACUGGACAAUGAGUUACUCAUUCACCCAACUUCUCAAAGGUGUUUUAUGGGACAAAACCAUACUGUGAGGCAGGUUCAAGAUGGGACAAAACUAUAGUCAACUAGUAAGAUUACAAGUACUGUCGCUUAGGUAAUAUCGAUUAAUGGGGGUCCAAUGGGGAAGCAAGUCUCGCAGCAGGCGUUCAAGUAACAGAGCAAGGUUUUGGGUGAGGUGUGGGUCAAGGAUCUUCCCUGGAAGAUCCUGGUCCCCCUCCCAGGUGAUUGAUACCUCUUUAGAAUAUCAGUCACUGAUAUUUAUCCUACAUGGGUGUGGCAGUUUCUCCUCUUAUAACACUGGCCUUCAGUGAGCGUGUCUUGAUUGUCCUCCAUGUUGGCUUCUCGAGGGCUGGCCCUGUCUGACUGCCUACCAGACAUCUAGUUAACUUACCUAUUCUACAGUAGUUCUGCUGUCUCCACAUCCACCGCACCGGAGCCCAGGCUGAUGGAUUGCAAGCCUUUCAGGGAUGCACUCACACUGAUCCAGACCACAGUGGGCACCUGCAAGAAGGGGGUGCUGGGAAACACACUGAACAGCAGGACGCAGUGCUGGCACCUGCUCCCCUAAACAAGGCUUUCAAAACUUGCUGUUCUCCACACACAAUGUAAUAGAUUCUACUUAAACUGCUUAUCCACCGUUCAAUACCUCUGUCUUUUUGAGGUAUAAAUGGCUAUUUCAAAUAAAGUAUAUUCAGCAAACACUUGGAAGUUAUGAUAUAUAGUGCUGCUUAGAAUUCUGUGAUUUUUGGUACAUCUUUUUAGUUUCUCAGGACUUGAAAGGGAGUUGCCUAUAGUGCAUUCUAGCAAAAAUUAACUAAGAAGCAAAGUAAACCAAAAGGUACAAGGAGAAGUUAGGACCCAGAGUUUGAAAUAAUAAUGGGACUUUAACCAGGAGAUCCUUUAACAUGGUGAAAAUAGACACCUAGUGUAACAUCUUGGAUGUAGACACACAGGUAACUCCCAAGGCUGUAGCUUAAAGGUUUGGGAAAAUCAAGAUGAUCAACUUUCAGAACAAAAAAAGGAUGAUUUAUCUGAAAAUCAAAUCAUUGAUCACAGAAAAUGAUAAAUGCCAAGACAUCACAGUGGUAAUGACAGGCAGGGACUGAAAUGGAGAAAGGUGAAUUCUUACCUGUUGGCAAAAAGCCCACAGGCUGAGGGGCACUGUUCAGGUAAGAUGGUCAUUUGGGGGGAAAGCAGGCUUGGUGAGGGGUGCAUGGGGGGAGCAGCCUGGCUUUCCGGUAUCGGGUUUGCAAGCCUCUUGCUUCCCUGGAACUCCCAGCCUCUGCCUCUGGAAGGGCCUUCCGGAAGUCUCCAGAAAGGUGGAAAAGAGCUGCUGCACUCUGCCCUGCCGCAACAGCCACAAAGCCUUGGUGUGUUUGAAAGGCAGAGCUAAGUGCGAGGGAGCCUAAUGCUCAGAUGGAUCGAUACCUUUCACGACCUUAGGAAGAUGGAGGAGGAGGCCACCAGUUAGCUAGUGAUUCUGCCUUUAGAAAUCACAGGUGAGGCUGUCCAGCUCUGAGUAAUGGGAAUUUAAGCAGCUUCUUGGUGCAGCAAUUUAACAGCAAUUAGUUUUGAUGACCUCCCCAGUUCUUUUGCCGAAUUAAUUUGAUCUUCUCUUGUGAGUUUGAAAUUACACUGAGAUAAAGGUCUCUCCCUCCCCCCUUCCCUCCCUCCCUCCCUCUGUCUUUCCUUCCGCCUGUCUUUCUUUCUCUCUCAUUCUUAAAAUGUUAACUUUAAUUAUGAAUUAAAAGAACCAGCUGAGAUUAGGAAAUAUAGGCAGGACUUUAUUAGCGUUUAAUUGGUCCCAAAUACAAUCCUACUUGUGACCUAGGCACUUAAAAGUAAAGUGCUUUAUAUAUAAUCUGUGCCUGUA